GACGAACGCUGGUGGCGUGCUUAACACAUGCAAGUCGAACGGGAUUUAGUAAACAGAAGCCUCGGUGGAAGAUUACUAAUGAGAGUGGCGAACGGGUGAGUAACGCGUGAGCAACCUGCCUAUGACAGUGGGAUAGCCUCGGGAAACCGGGAUUAAUACCGCAUAAAAUCGUAGAAACACAUGUUUUAACGGACAAAGAUUUAUCGGUCAUAGAUGGGCUCGCGUCUGAUUAGCUAGUUGGUGAGAUAACAGCCCACCAAGGCGACGAUCAGUAGCCGGUCUGAGAGGAUGAACGGCCACAUUGGAACUGAGACACGGUCCAAACUCCUACGGGAGGCAGCAGUGGGGAAUAUUGCACAAUGGGGGAAACCCUGAUGCAGCGACGCCGCGUGAACGAAGAAGGUAUUCGUAUCGUAAAGUUCUGUCCUAUGGGAAGAUAAUGACAGUACCAUAGAAGAAAGCUCCGGCUAAAUACGUG
rnacentral:rRNA from 1 species